ensembl:lncRNA
CUCUCUUCAGGUUCCCAUCUUACAUUUUUUUUAAAUUUAUUUUCUUUUAAUUUGUUCUCCCGACUCCUCCACCUUUCCUCCACCCGUCCUCUUUUCUCGCGCCUGCUUUUCUAAUCCCCUUGUUGCCCCUCGGUUAAGACCCCCGUUGUAUCACUCUGCUCUAUCAGGUCCGCUCGCGCUUUGGGCUUUUUUUUUUUUUUUUUUUUUGUGCCACUAACGAGUUCUUUGCCUUUUUCUUCUUCUGUUUUUUUUUGUGCGUCUUUCAUCUCUUGAUCUCUUUCCGCUCAAGUGUUCACAGAAACGGGGGAGGGGGAGGGGGGGUCGGUUGAUCACGGGUCUCUGGGGAGCGGCGGCGGAAUCGGUGUGACGAAGUGUGAUGAGAGCCGCUGCGCCUCGCCGGCUCCGGCUGACGUCCUUCUGAAGGUCACUCAGCGGAGAACUUGUAUCAGGAGGACUUGGUCAACAUGUAGAUGUGUGAUUUGCACGCUUCUCAGGGACUCAAAGCCAAAGGUCGUUUAAACUCUAUCAAAGCGUAGAAAGUAUAAGCGGCUGAAGGGAUGCGGCCCGUUAAAAGAAGUGAGUCAACAGACCUUCUGCUUCUCCGUGUUUUGGUUGUGGACAAAGAGCGGCGCGUAGUCUUGAUUAUGAGCCGGUCGGAAUCUGGAGGACACAUUUCCCAGGUCAAAGGUCACUGCCCCCCCCCUUCAGUAUCUCAAACGAACGGUCGAAUCUUGGAGAAAGGUAUUAACACAAAAUAAUGACCAGUUGUGCUUAAUAUUGAAGAGGGGUCCGAUGUCUGUUAAAUACCUGUCAAUCACAGUAGUCCCGCCCUAAAGCGUCCCCUAUUUUAUGGUCUGUUUGACUCUUAUGGGAUCAUAAUUUCAUGAAAAUUGAUUUUCAUGAACAUCAUCUGUAUUAAAGAAGGCUUGAAACUAGAGACUGAGACCAUAAACUCGUGUUUACAAUGUUUUUGUCAAGGAGUCAUUUCCUCAUAGACGUCUAUGGGAGCAGAGGAGUCGCCCCCUGCUGGUCACUACAGAGAAGUAGAGUCAUUUCCUCAUAGACGUCUAUGGGAGCAGAGGAGUCGCCCCCUGCUGGUCACUACAGAGAAGUAGAGUCAUUUCCUCAUAGACGUCUAUGGGAGCAGAGGAGUCGCCCCCUGCUGGUCACUACAGAGAAGUAGAGUAAUUUCCUCAUAGACGUCUAUGGGAGCAGAGGAGUCGCCCCCUGCUGGUCACCACAGAGAAGUAGAGUCAUUUCCUCAUAGACGUCUAUGGGAGCAGAGGAGUCGCCCCCUGCUGGUCACUACAGAGAAGUAGAGUCAUUUCCUCAUAGACGUCUAUGGCAGCAGAGGAGUCGCCCCCUGCUGGUCACUACAGAGAAGUAGAGUCAUUUCCUCAUAGACGUCUAUGGGAGCAGAGGAGUCGCCCCCUGCUGGUCACUACAGAGAAGUAGUCAUUUCCUCAUAGACGUCUAUGGGAGCAGAGGAGUCGCCCCCUGCUGGUCACCACAGAGAAGUAGAGUCAUUUCCUCAUAGACGUCUAUGGGAGCAGAGGAGUCGCCCCCUGCUGGUCACUACAGAGAAGUAGAGUCAUUUCCUCAUAGACGUCUAUGGCAGCAGAGGAGUCGCCCCCUGCUGGUCACUACAGAGAAGUAGAGUCAUUUCCUCAUAGACGUCUAUGGGAGCAGAGGAUCGGCCCCCUGCUGGUCACUGCACAGAAUGCAGCUUUAACUCGUGAAGCUUUGGCUUUCAGGAGUGGAUUUUCCCUUGUUGGGUCUUGGAGCUCCGCGCAGUGAUCUGGGUGCUUUUAGCAUCCAGUGGUGUCGUGGCGUGCUAGCUGCUACACGCCAGCGGCUCGGGGAGGGAUCCCACUGCUGGUCGCAUGUUAAAUCGAGCACAUUUACAUCCAGGUCUUUUCAGCUCCAGCAGUCUCAUCCGGGGAGAUGCUCACAUAUUAACCCCCCCCCCCCCCCC